UGUCAUUCCGAUUUUCAAGGCACAAUAGCUUUAGCCAGCACAGUGUUUACUGAGCUUUAGAAAGGAUCCAGAAGAGAGAGUGCCCAGAGCAACAGCAUCACAGAGGCCUUGGGUGCAGCUUCUGACAUCCCCAAUCACAUGCAUUGGGUAUGUUUUGGUCACAUGAAAUGAAAAGAAGCUGAAGUGAACGUGGACCAUGUCAGCAUAAGGAAGCCACAGGGUUUAGGAUCCCUGAGCCUAAACACUUUGCUCACCCCCUGGCCCCUACUCUUUAUUGCAGCUACAGUCCAUGAAUGACAGAUUAUACAACAAUCUCGACAACUAGGUACAGCAUACUUGGAAACAUUUGUGGAUCCCUCAUUUAACCCCAAUGGAUAUUUCAAAAAGUUUAACUAAAGCUCAAACUCUGCUCAAGCGUCCCUGAAGCUGGAGUGAGAUUUAUAGUCCAGCUGUUCUUUCCUUUCACCAGGUCACGUGUAGAAUCCUGGCUGAAAGGGAGCCUGGCAAAUGCAGUUUUUAGCCACUCCAGCAUCUAUAGUUCAGGAAGCCAAACAAGGAGAAAGUUGGAACAGAUGCUGUGUGGACCAGAACACAGCAUUACCACACUGUCUAACUGCGUAAAGAGAGUCGGGUGAUGGACCUAUAAAACCACCCCCCGAAGUUGUGACUUUGGAUAAAUCAUACACUGACUUGAGUUUUCAGUUUCCUCUCUGCCACAAGAGAGAUUUGGACUGUAUUGCUUUAGCAAUUAGUCUAACUGUAACAUGUAAUUCCAUAAUUUCAGGCAAAUCUAUUUCAAAUUCGCUGAGCUUCAGCACCACAGACGACACAUAUAAAUAGACUGCAUAGCUGAUGCCUUUAAAUUGGAAAUUCAUCCAACGUCAGAACUUGAGCUCUUUCGUAUCUUUUCGUAUCUGUGCUAUUUUCAGAUUUGUGAAGUAUUUUUAAGGGGACUUGUACAGUCAGUUGACUUUAACUCAUAUUCAUAAUAUUUGAUUUUAUAAGCUUAAAAUCUCUAAGGAUAUUUUAAAUUAUUUUGGACACAUUUAAUUUCUGGAAAAUAUGUUUAUAAAGAAAAUACAUACAAAUAAAAUAUUGUGUCAAGUGGCAUUCAUCAACUUUUGGGGUAAAAGUGAACCUCAAUGGGACCUAUGGGACCUACAGGCCUGAUAAAGAGAAGUGUCAGAUCAUUACCUUCUAAGUAAAAAUCCCCGAAGGAACUUUGGUAUACAUACAAACGAAACAAAUCAGUGGUUGAAUAUCAACCAUGUAACCAUUUAUUUACUACUUUGGGAUCUUUCUCUUUGGCUUAGCUUUCCUCACAAAUUUGUUUCUUAAACUCUUGCUAUGCUGUAAGAAUGGUAAAGUUCUAUUUAUCUCUUUGAAUAAUAUAAACUUCAGAGAGACAUUGAAGAGGCAUAGUGGUUAUAGAAGCAGAACUUGGAGAUGCUUUGAUUAAUUAGAAAUUAAAAAUCUCACUGACAUGUGAUAUUCACCUCACUGCAACAGUCAUCAACAAACAAAAACAAAAAACCCAAAUCAGUUAAGCAUAUUUUUAUAAACUUAAUGGGCCAAACAAAACCUAAUGUGCCCAAGCCUAAUGUGUUUAAUGGUCCAGAUUUCAGCAAUAACUAAGAAGAGAUCAAAAACCGAAACAUACUUUGACAAAUUAUUUUGAAUAUUCGUCCAGGGGUAGUUUAUCUUCUGCCUCUGAGAGUGGGAUUGAUUUUGGAAAAUAAUCAAAUGUAGCCAAUACAGUGGAUAAUUAAUCUGACAGUAUACUACACAUUGCUUAUUAUUCAAAAUGAUAAAUAGACUGAUUUCCUGUGCAGUUGAAACCAGUUCUUUUGAUGAGUGGGACCCGUAAUUGAAAAAGCUCAUACACUGAGAAUUUUGUGUUCCUAUUUUUGCUUUCACCAUUCUUCACGUGCUACCUCUAAUUCCUAGCUCUCUCAGCUUUGAAACUAGUAAGCUAGGUUAUAAUUUUUGAAUGAUCUACUUCUCGAAAUGACCUCUCGCUCUUCUGGCUAGUUCCUUUUCAGUUUUAUAGUAAUAACAUCCAUGAUGGAAGAGACCAGCACAUGCUUCUACCUGAAAAGGUCUGAGAACCUUUAUUGACUGGUUAAUGGAGAGAAUGUGGGGAAGCCAGAGGACCUGAGGCUCAGAAGAACCAUUUGAAACCUUAGCACUCUCUGGGAAGAAAAGAUAAGUGGCGGCUGUUGGGGAGACAAAAGGAUAUGGCGAGGACGAUGGGGAUCUCCAGCAUGUGGGUCUUGUCAGAAGGGAGCGGGAUCAACAUCCAUAGCAUGUACAAUACAAAGAGUAAACCCCAAUAUAAACAAUGGGCUUCAGUUAAUAAUAAUGUAUCAGUACUGGCUCACUGAUUGUAACCAAUGUCCUACACUAAUGCAAGAUACUUAUAAUGAGCAAAACUGCAUGCAAGAGGGUACAGGUGGGAACUCUACUUUCUGGGAAAUUUUUCUGGAAAGUGUCUUAAAAUGUAAAGUGUACCAUUUUUAUUUUUUAGAUGUUAUUGGGCCAGGUAUAUAAAAAUAAAAUAAUAGAAAUACUAUGUA